rnacentral:ncRNA from 1 species
AUCAGAGGUGCUUAAAGGCCCUCCGAAUCGCGCUCCAACUUACCGUCCGAGCCGAUUUGCGUUGUAAAGCCUACAAGGCCGUUCGAUGAGAUUGCGACUGGAACGAAGUUGUCCUGAGGGACGGGGAAGCGUUUAGCCACAGUGCGCAGCAAGUUGAAUGGUUUACGGGCUCACGUCCGAAAACACCAAGUGACCCGCUCAUUUGUAACAGCUGAAGCCGCGAACUGUUU